rnacentral:rRNA from 1 species
UACGGAGGGAGCUAGCGUUGUUCGGAAUUACUGGGCGUAAAGCGCGCGUAGGCGGCCUUGCAAGUUAGAGGUGAAAGCCCGGAGCUCAACUCCGGAACUGCCUUUAAAACUGCAUAGCUUGAAUCCGGGAGAGGUGAGUGGAAUUCCGAGUGUAGAGGUGAAAUUCGUAGAUAUUCGGAAGAAACACCAGUGGCGAAGGCGGCUCACUGGACCGGUAUUGACGCUGAGGUGCGAAAGCGUGGGGGAGCAA